UACGAAGGGUGCAAGCGUUACUCGGAAUUACUGGGCGUAAAGCGUGCGUAGGUGGUUUGUUAAGUCUGUUGUGAAAGCCCCGGGCUCAACCUGGGAAUGGCAAUGGAUACUGGCAAGCUAGAGUGCGGUAGAGGGUAGUGGAAUUCCCGGUGUAGCGGUGAAAUGCGUAGAGAUCGGGAGGAACACCAGUAGGCGAAGGCGGCUUUCUGGACGGUAACUGACGCUGAGACGCGAAAGCGUGGGGAGCAAACAGG
rnacentral:rRNA from 1 species